rnacentral:lncRNA from 1 species
CUGUUCGACACCUGGGCCCUGAAAAGGUUGCCCCAGCAUUCCUGCCAGGCUUCCUAGAGGGGGGCACUGGCCACAGUGGCCAUUCUCUGCGCUCUCAGCAUAAAAACCUAGAGAUCAUAAAGAGCCACCUGGCCUGGAGUCAGGACCCAGAACCUACUUCUCAGCAAGGGAGUUCUCUCUGAAACUUGUUCCUCCUGUGUUAAGAACCUAUUGUGAGCUCCGUUAGGGGAAUUAUUCUGUGGCUGCUGAUGUUUGGAUUUGUCAUCUUUCUCCUGCUGGGGCUGCUGCCUACCUGUUGGAACUGUCCCCACACUGUGCAAAUACUGCAGUGCUCACAGUUGGUGGCAGUGACUCCUGAGUGCAGCCAGCAGAGGCUCUUGUCACAUCCUGCUCAAGAACCUGCACAUGUAGACUUCUAGAAAUCCAGCACACAGUGAAGAGUGGCCCACAGAACCUCAGAGCAGCCUCCUCAGUGCUUUUGUGUUAUUAUUAAGACUUCUACCCAGGAGGAGGACACAGAAGCUAUGGCCUGCUAUGUACCCCAUCAUUAAGCAAGUUUAUGCCCAGGGGUCAAUGUCUAGGUCAAUUCAAGUUUGUCGUUUAAAUUAGAAUUCAGUACUUACUUACCAGGAGUUCAGUGUCAUCGGGCUGGGGAGGGUGGCUGUGCUGACUUGCUCUGCCGUCCCUGUGGCCCCUACCCACAUGUGGUCCUAUCUGGCCUUUCCAGGUGGACACCUCCUACGUAUCAUAAAUAUGAUUGCAAAUCCUUGAGUAACUCAAUUCACUUCAGAAGAGAUCUGAGUAUCUGCUUUGUUAACAAAACAGAAAGCCCUUGUCUACAGCAGGGCUUUUGGACUCCAGCACUGGAUUGUUCUGUGUGUGGAUGGGAGGGUAAUAGCACCUCCUGCCUCUACCCAGGUAAUAGCACCUAGUUUGGGCAACCAAAAGAUGUUUCCCCGUGUUGCCAAAUGUCCCCUGGGACAAGGUGACUCCCUGUUGAGGACCACUGGAGGGAAAGUAGAAACAUGGAGCACACUUCUCAUGGAAACAUGGAAAACGUUCCUUACGCUCUGUAGAGAACACAGCAGUAUCAGGCAAAAAAAAUUGGUGUUUGGGCUGGGGAUGUGGCUCAAGCGGUAACGCGCUUGCCUGGCAUGCCCAGGGCCCUGGGUUCCAUCCUCAGCACCACAUAAAAUAAAGAUGUUGUGUCCACCGAAAACUGAAAAAUAAAUAUUAAAGAAAAAAAAAAAAUCCGUGUUUGUCAGAGCUCCAGGAAGUGAGGGUAGAGGGCAGUGCUGGGAACCAUCUUACUGAGCACAAUGGCUGGAACUGAGUUUGAAGGAUGAAGAAGGAGACUGCAGGAUGGCACAGAGCUGUGCCAGAGGUGAGACUGAGGAGAUGGGGGUGAGGUGGCUUUGAUAAAGCUCCCCUUGGCCAAGCAGGACAGGAGGGCUGGAGGAAGAGCCUGGCGGGGGAGUGGGCCGAGCCGGCGUGGGCUCUGGGACCCGACCUCUGGUUGGACUCUUGGCCUAGGGCAGGUGCUUCAUCUCCACAACAGUGCAGGAAAUGAGCUAAUGCCCAUGAGAUGCCCACUGGUUGUCAAGGAACUCUUACCAUGGCCGUCUGUGCUCAGAAGAGAGAGGCGGUGCCAAAGGAAGUCCCAGUGUGGGGAUUGGAGAGAAAGUCCUGGGUGUAAGGGAAAUUCACCACAGAACCACAGGGACCUAAUCUGUGGGGGCUGGGGGUGGAGACUGAGCAGGCCAGAAUUAACUCACUCAGUCUUCGAAACAGACCCGUGAGGUCGGCACUCUGAGUACCGCCAUCUUGCAGGUGAGGACCCUGAGGCAAGGGGAGUUGUUUGGCCAUGUGUCCCCCCACUGGACCAGGAGUUCUUGAGAAAGGCACUUGAUUUGUUCACCCCUGUGUGACCAAGGGCCUAGCAGUGACCUGGCAGAUGGUGUAAUCAGUGGGUGCUUGCUGAAUGCAUGAAACACUGUGGCCUCCCACUCCGUCCUGGGCACAGUGCUGAGCCCUUUUCCGCGGCCCCUCCCUGGCUUUCUUCUUUCCUAGAUUCGAUGCUGAAGUCCCAGUGGGGUUUCACUUACCUGUUGUUUCCACU